rnacentral:tRNA from 1 species
UCUAGUAUAGUAUAACUAGUACAUUAGGCUUAAGACUUAAAAGAAUAAUUUUAUUACUAGAA